UACAGAGGUCUCGAGCGUUAAUCGGAAUUACUGGGCGUAAAGCGUGCGCAGGCGGUGAUGUAAGACAGUUGUGAAAUCCCCGGGCUCAACCUGGGAACUGCAUCUGUGACUGCAUCGCUGGAGUGCGGCAGAGGGGGAUGGAAUUCCGCGUGUAGCAGUGAAAUGCGUAGAUAUGCGGAGGAACACCGAUGGCGAAGGCAAUCCCCUGGGCCUGCACUGACGCUCAUGCACGAAAGCGUGGGGAGCAAACAGG
rnacentral:rRNA from 1 species